CGCGUUGAUCCGGCAGGGGCUCUUUUUCAUCUCUCACCGCAGCCUCCUCUCUCCUUUUGCCUUUCCACUUCCCGAAGCUAGGGUUGCCGCCGCCGCCGCCGCCGCCGCCCCAUCUCUCCUCCGGCACCGGGCACCGAAGGAAGGCCGGCUUCUCCCACAUAUCUUCUCCUCUUGAUUGCUACCUCAUAGCAAGGCGUGGCCCAGCUCUUCACCAUGGCGCCGACAGCAAGGCAGGCAGCGCCGCGAGCUCUCGUCACGAGGAAGCCGCAGGAGGACGAGGUCAAGCCGGACUAGGUCGAUGCGCCCCCCUGCCAUACCUCCUUCUUCUCUUGCGGGUUGGUUGCUGGCUUGCUGCUGUUUCUGGUGCCGUUCGUGUCCGACCGGAAGGGCGUAGCUUCUGUCUGUGUCGCUGCUCCUGAGCUCACGCAUCCACAUCGGAGGCUGCCGCUUGCAAAACUGCUCUAAGCCUCUAACCCGAGGAGCUCGUUGUCACCAUCGUGUAGAGGAGCACCAGGCUGCAUCAUAAGACGCCUCAACAGCGACCGACGAAGUCGUCGAGCCGAGACAUGCAAGCCUUUUGAGUGAGUUCCUCCAUAUUUCAUCAAUUCAGGUUGGUUCAUACACAUCACAGGUGUUGAUUUGCAAGUAGAUGGUUGAGUAAUAAAAGGAACAUACUGAUUAACUUGUUCGCUGCUUCCUCUGCUGCUGCCCAGCUAAUGAUGUUCACUUUUGCUUUGGCAAAAUGUUUGGCCGUGGAAGGAAAGCCUUUUGGUGUGGUGAGCUACAGAAUUAAUGGUAGCCCCUGGCAAAUGUUGAAGUUUUUUCAUGUAACAAGACCACAACUUUGAAAAUUAAGAUUGCUGCAAGCUAACAGGCCAUACCAUCGUUCUCCAUGAUAUAUGGCUUGGUAUUCAGGAAAAAGUAGAUGUCCUUCGAACUCGUGUCCUUUUUCUCUGAAUAUAUGAAGCUGAAGUCUAAACAUUUAGACCUUCUCAAUGUUGGCUUCGUGGUGUUGGGGGUGUGGCAUCGUCCUCGAAGUGAAGGCGCAGCGACCUUGAGUCGAUCGCAACCUCAAGUGCUUUCUCACAUGCUUGUCUUGAUUGGUUGUUCCCCUACUUGUAAUGACAUCUUUCAUUCUUAACUAAUGCUUCCGAGUCGUUAACAUAUGAUAAUUUCAUAUAGUUUGGUCAGCAAAAUCGAUUUCGCCUACUGAACUAUGUUAAUGAUGGCGUACGUGACCCACUGAACCAGACACGCCAAUGUGCAUAAUAACAAGACUGAGAUCAGGGACCCGACCAGUCACCCUAAUGUGCAUAGAAAAGAUUGAAGGGUGAUGCCACAAGAACCGAUGAGGAAAUCAAACUGAGGGUAUAUACGGUUAUCCUAUUGAGAUCCAAGCUCUAUUGUACAUGAAAUUAAGAUGUGCUCUUCAAAUGCUUAAGCCGGAUGGUGAAGGGGAGGACUUCAUAGAAAAGCCCAUUUACGAGAAAUAAUGAGAUACAACCCAAUACGAAGAGGCUGCCUACUCGGAUGAAUGGAAACGAAUUAACACAGCACGCACGUCACGCACGGGAGUGCGGGAGUUGCCGAGUCGGAGUUGCUCAGAUGCGUUCGCCGCCUGGCUCCCUGACGUGACAAGCCGCCGACGCCUUCCGCCCUGCGCUGCACCUGCAUGACGUGCCUCCGGCGGUCGCCUCGAUCCGCGGCCUGCAGGCCGGCUGGCCGUCCGUCAGAUUAGCACAAGGAAGACGUUGCGCCAUUGAUCGAUCAAGGUAAGUGGUAAACCCUAAGAUGCGUAGGUUCAGUUUCUUUCUUCUAAUUUCCAAUUAUUGUUAUAUUCCGAUUUUCAUGUUAGAGAGGCAAUCGUAUCAAAUAUCCAUGUAUUGAAAUUUUAAUAUAUGGAUUGGUAAUCGUAUCAUAUAUGGAACGCUGAUUGAGUUAGCUUAGCUUAAUAAUUUUGUGUAAAUAAGUAUGUGGAAUAGACUAAAUCUUUGAAUGUUAAACUUUACUGUAUGUCAAAAUUUUGAACGCUCAUAUAUUUGACAUUGACAAGGAAGCUAAUGAAGAGAUUCUUUGGAAAAUCAACAACCCACAAUAUGCCUAAAGAGGUGACAAUUAAACGCUUCCUUGGGAAAAAUCGCCGUGGGAUGAAACAGAAGGAGCUUGAAGACUACAAAUUAAUUCAAAACGGUCAGGAACAGCAUAUUGAUAUUUCUCAAGUUAUUGCGCCUUAAAUGGCCAAAGCUUUCAUCCCCUUUACAGAAGAAAACAAAUAACUUGAUGCUAACAUGAGUUAGUUUGCUAUCUGUGGAAGACGAAUGUGUGUGAACCCGUGUGAAAAUGCUUAGAGAAGUAUCUAGGCGCUCCAGCAAUACAAGUGCGCACAGAGGUUCACUACACAGAAGACUACCUCCAGAAGUGCAUUAACCAAGAUCAUGAUGCAUUGCCAAUCAAGCUUGCAGAUGGCGAGGUCCCCGUCGUCUCUCGCCUCAUCACAGGGAAUGACAGGAUGACCACCAUCACAACCAACUGGACAGAGUUCCACUGUCAUGCAAACAUGCAUGAGGGUGACAUCUGCGCCUUCUACUUCAGACGCAAGGCAAGGUGUACCGCCAAUGAUCGCGAUUAUCUCCUAUAAAUAUAAUCCAUGUAUCGUGCUCAUGUUUAUUGAACCUUCUACCUCUGUUCCUUGCCUUACUAUUGAACCACCUUAAUUAUCUAGAUAUCAACAUGCUACCUAUGUGUUGUAUGUGUUUAUCACCGGGAUUAAUUUCCUUUCUUCCACUGUCA